rnacentral:rRNA from 2 species
UACGAAGGGGGCUAGCGUUGUUCGGAAUUACUGGGCGUAAAGCGCACGUAGGCGGAUAUUUAAGUCAGGGGUGAAAUCCCAGAGCUCAACUCUGGAACUGCCUUUGAUACUGGGUAUCUUGAGUAUGGAAGAGGUAAGUGGAAUUCCGAGUGUAGAGGUGAAAUUCGUAGAUAUUCGGAGGAACACCAGUGGCGAAGGCGGCUUACUGGUCCAUUACUGACGCUGAGGUGCGAAAGCGUGGGGAGCAAACAGG